UCUCCGUUGGUGAACCAGCGGAGGGAUCAUUGCUGGAACGCGCCCCUGGCGCACCCAGAAACCCUUUGUGAACUUAUACCUUACUGUUGCCUCGGCGCAGGCCGUCCCCCCUGGGGUCCCUUUUGUCUCAAAAGGAGCAGCCGGCCGGUGGCCAAAUCAACUCUGUUUUUACACUGUAACUCUGAGUACAAAACAUAAAUGAAUCAAAACUUUCAACAACGGAUCUCUUGGUUCUGGCAUCGAUGAAGAACGCAGCGAAAUGCGAUAAGUAAUGUGAAUUGCAGAAUUCAGUGAAUCAUCGAAUCUUUGAACGCACAUUGCGCCCUCUGGUAUUCCGGAGGGCAUGCCUGUUCGAGCGUCAUUUCAACCCUCAAGCCUGGCUUGGUGUUGGGGCACUGCUUUUCUCCCGAAGAGCAGGCCCUGAAAUAUAGUGGCGAGCUCGCCAGGACUCCGAGCGUAGUAGUUAAACCCUCGCUUUGGAAGGCCUGGCGGUGCCCUGCCGUUAAACCCCAACUUCUGAAAAUUUGACCUCGGAUCAGGUAGGAAUACCCGCUGAACUUAA
rnacentral:rRNA from 1 species